AACGUACGCUGGCGGUAUGCUUAACACAUGCAAGUCGAACGAACGAAGCUCUAGCUUGCUAGAGAUUAGUUAGUGGCAAACGGGUGAGUAACACGUGGGAAUCUACCCAGUAGUACGGAAUAACAGUUGGAAACGAUUGCUAAUACCGUAUAGUAUCGAGAGAUUAAAGAUUUAUCGCUACUGGAUGAGCCCGCGUCAGAUUAGAUAGUUGGUGGGGUAAUGGCCUACCAAGGCUACGAUCUAUAGCUGGUUUGAGAGGAUGAUCAGCCACACUGGGACUGAGACACGGCCCAG
rnacentral:rRNA from 1 species